rnacentral:rRNA from 1 species
GAUGAACGCUGGCGGCGUGCCUAAUACAUGCAAGUCGAGCGAACAGACGAGGAGCUUGCUCCUCUGACGUUAGCGGCGGACGGGUGAGUAACACGUGGAUAACCUACCUAUAAGACUGGGAUAACUUCGGGAAACCGGAGCUAAUACCGGAUAACAUGUUGAACCGCAUGGUUCAACAGUGAAAGACGGUCUUGCUGUCACUUAUAGAUGGAUCCGCGCCGCAUUAGCUAGUUGGUAAGGUAACGGCUUACCAAGGCAACGAUGCGUAGCCGACCUGAGAGGGUGAUCGGCCACACUGGAACUGAGACACGGUCCAGGCGCCUACGGGAGGCAGCAGUAGGGAAUCUUCCGCAGUGGGCGAAAGCCUGACGGAGCGACGCCACGUGAGUGGAGGAGGUCUUCGGAUCGUAAAGCUCUGUUAUUAGGGAAGAACAAAUGUGUAAGUAACUAUGCACGUCUUGACGGUACCUGAUCAGAAAGCCACGGCUAACUACGUG